rnacentral:rRNA from 1 species
GACGAACGCUGGCGGCGUGCUUAACACAUGCAAGUCGAACGGAAAGGCCCUGCUUUUGUGGGGUGCUCGAGUGGCGAACGGGUGAGUAACACGUGAGUAACCUGCCCUUGACUUUGGGAUAACUUCAGGAAACUGGGGCUAAUACCGGAUAGGAGCUCCUGCUGCAUGGUGGGGGUUGGAAAGUUUCGGCGGUUGGGGAUGGACUCGGGGCUUAUCAGCUUGUUGGUGGGGUAGUGGCUUACCAAGGCUUUGACGGGUAGCCGGCCUGAGAGGGUGACCGGCCACAUUGGGACUGAGAUACGGCCCAGACUCCUACGGGAGGCAGCAGUGGGGAAUAUUGCACAAUGGGCUGAAGCCUGAUGCAGCAACGCCGCGUGCGGGAUGACGGCCUUCGGGUUGUAAACCGCUUUCGCCUGUGACGAAGCGUGAGUGACGGUAAUGGGUAAAGAAGCACCGGCUAACUACGUG